rnacentral:lncRNA from 11 species
CUCUAGGGGGCGCGCGAGGCUGAAGUAAUUAAGAGGUUGAACAUUGCAUGAGCCAUUUGAAUGGGAAAGGUUGGGGAGAGGACAGAUGCUUCCAAGCAGCCCUGAUUGGUUGGUGGUCCAAAAGGCCGAUCCUCCCAGAUUGGUCUGUCAGUGAAUCUGGAGAGAUGGAGGAAAG